GUAGAGACAAAAACUGAAACAUGCCCGGGGUGCAGAAGCAGAGAGGAAGAGAGAUUAUUUAAUGAAGUAGGCUAAUGGUGGUGGGGAGAAAGGGGGCUGAUUUUCCUAUCUCAGAACUGUUGAGCCUACAAAUAUUACUGAAAUCACAUUUGGGAACAAAGCUCUGCUUUAAGCAAGUUCAUCCAUGAGUGUUGCUAAGCAAUGGAGAGAAGGCAAGAGAGAGGGAGAGUGCCUGACUUUAGGAUUAUAGAGGGAUAGAGAGGAGAAAAGACACCACGGUUUCUACAUAGCCUUACUUAUAGCGAACAUUAAAGUUCUGUGUUUUCCUUGCCUGUCUUACAACCUGUUCAUGCCUCAAUUAAUCAGAUCUGGUUCAGUAUCUGUACCAACACAUAUCCAGCACGCGGAGGAGGGUUGUGCUGCAUCCUGAAGCACCAGCAGUUACGCACUAGAACUGUCAACAUCUGUCUCCGAAUUAAACAGAAAGGAAGGGGAGAAGAAAUCUUUCCUAUCAGCAGCAGCAGGGGUUGCUGCAGGAAGAUGAUAAUUUCCUCCUGCUAUGCUGCUGACAACCGCCGAGCUGCACAGGAGGAGCAAAGCAUUUCAAUCACGGAAUUGAAAAACACAGCAGUUCCUAAAGCUUCAUCUCACCUUGGUUGAUUUACAUAAGUUUAGAUUGAACUGUUUCACUGUCGAAUUAUGUUAUAUAUGGAAGAUAACAGAGGAGGAAAUAAUGUAAUUUCUAGCUUGUGUAUAGGAGGCAGCGUGUCUGCGUGUAUAAACACUUCUUGAGCAUCCUGGAUAGACAGAUGCCGCUGAAUUCCUUAAAAGCACCAUGCAGACCUGCAGGCUCCCUGACUCCACACUGUAUGCUUUAGGAACUCCAUACUACUCGAAAAAACAUCUUUCAAAAAAUGAAAAAUAAGAAGUAUCUUAUUAAUAACCAGCAAGUCCAGGUUCAAUCCAGUGUCCACUGAAGUCAUCAGAAAACCUGUGACAGAGGCCUAGGGGGGGUUGAGUUUUGGCUCCAGCUCUUUCAUCAGACUGCCAUUGUAACAAAGGAACCCCAUAACAGGCUCCUAAGAUAAAUGCAAAUCUUGCAUCAGAGAGAGUCAGGCAUUCCCCAAAUUAAAAAUUUGAGCACACAGCAGCUUAUAGGCAGCAGCUCUGGGCAUGUGGCACAACAUCUGUUACAAAAACACUAGAAAGCAGACCUGCGGCAAACUGGACCUCUGCCAGCUCUCAAGAUCCCGCCCCCUCCCCCCAAAAGGCUGUCAGUAAAUGGACAGAUGGCAGCCAACGCACUCUAGGAGAGCUGGUUCAGUUAACAAUCAAGUAUGCUAAGUGAUUUCAGAUUCACUCUGCAUCAGGCAUUGCAUUUUACGUUGAAUCAUUAACACUAUGCCCUAAUAGAAAUAUAGUUUGGUAGUAAAAAACUGGUGCACUCUGCAUCUUACAAGAGAGGUUCUCUGGAACAAUUUGCUAGGGAACAUUAGAACUGCUUUCCUUAAUGAAGUCAAAAUUUGCCAAGUUUACCAGGCUGGUUUGUACAUAAUCUUAAAUUCUGCAAUACUGAAAGAAUGUGGAUGGAAACAAAUCUUAAGAUGUAGGUCAGUUGAUAGCACAAGUUGUUCCCACACACACGCUCAGCUGAAAGAGCAGAGUAGAUGUUAACCAUGCACAGCAUAUGGGAUACUGCAUCGUGGUGGCUUGUCUGUGUUACCGGAGUACAUUACACCGAGCUCUCCUGGGAAGGCAGCUCUCACAAGCAGCGGUGUGGGUGACAUGGUUGUUACCCAAGCACACUGAUGGGAACAAUCAUUCCUGGAAAAUUUGUUGGCUUUUGUGGGUAAAAUUCAUAAAUAGUUUGGGCAUUUUACCACCAGGGGGCAAAUAAUUCUUCAUUGAACACUGGCAAAGAGCAUGCAGGAUUUUAGGCAUUAUGAAAAGUAAUUUUUAAUUCUUCCUCUUUACAAUCAUGUCUUUAACAGCAUGUUUUGUAUGUGUAGUGACACUGUACCCAAUUGUUUUGCUUUUCCAUUAAGUAGCAGGGCAAGAAUACUUUUUUUUUCCCCUCCAAAGAUGAGGACCGAAUAAAACUAAAAAAUGCAAAGCUUUUCUAAUGGGCAAUCAACAAAUUAGUGAUUUACACAGUCAGGUACUGGCCUACUGGAGAACUGCAGGUUAUCUGAUGUGUUUUAGGGACAUUAAAUGGUGCUGUGAAAGACUUUCCUUUUGGAUUCACCCAAGAACUCUCCAAAGGCAUAGAUCUUAUACUACUUCAAGUACUAAGCCAAGAACAGCUGAGCUGUGCUACACGAGGUUGAUCUGAAAACCUCUCAAAAUGAUGAACCUGCCUAUGGUCAGUCAAUCAACUUUAUACGGAUCUCCUGCUAACUUUCCUUUCUGCUUAUGACAUUGGUUUUCUGUAAAAGUAUGUAGACGGCAUCACCACAGUCAUAAUUGGAAAAUCAGCAGUAGCAGACAAGAACUCAUCUGCCCUGCCCUUCUAAUUCAGACUUGGAAAUUUGGUACAAAAUUUCAGAACAGGAACAAGAACUCCACAAUUUGGCUGAGCUCCUUCACAGUCCACUCUGUGUGGCUUGCCUUUCUCUUUGAAGAGACUGAAUAUUUUGACUACCAGCCCAUGAUCACGAAAGCAGGGAAAUCAGAGAUGCAAUUUUUAAGAAGUGCAAAAUAAACAGAGAAGCAUCUUCAUUUUCUGGCUCAACUUCUUGAAAAUCUGAUGAAAUUUAGUGAGAUUUACUCAGUGAAAUUUAGUCUUUGCCUUACUUCUUUAAAAUAAAUAUUCCGAGGGCAUAAAUUAUCAAGAGAGGAGACACCAACCAGCUCUAUGAGAACAGCUGAAAAAUAGUUGCCUUUUCUUGGCGCUAAUCAUCUGGUAAGUCUGCAAACGAAGCUAUUCAAAAAAUGAAUUACAGAAAAGCUGCAUGUCACUAUUUUCAACAGUCAAAGAUAUGCUUUAUCAGAUAUAAAGUCACAAAAGAAUAUGAAGAAGGCAGGACAAAUUAGCUACAACAUAAUUAAGAAUGCCAGACAUUCAUAAUAUUCAUUCAUAAUGCUAGACGGUCAUAAAGACAGAAAAUCUGGCUCCCAGUGGAAACUUAUUUCUCAUUUUUCUUCUUCAUUCCUACUACAGACUUUCAUCAACAACAAACCUAUCAGAUACAAAUUUUUUAUCAGCAGUUCCACAGAACAAUUCUGCCUCAAAACCACUCAUUAGGCUGGAAUUGGCAAAACCUAAUUUUUAGUCUGUUUUUUCAACCACGGGUCCACACUUCCCUGUUCUGUCUCCUGGCAAUCUGUCCUACGUCGUCUCAUGAGAAAAACCAAGAGAAUUCUUUGGAAAAACAUGUUUUGAGGAAAGCCAUUUAUGGACAGUAAUGCACAGUAUCAUUAGCCCCAAACGAAGCAACUGCAGAAUGCUGCUCCCAGGGUGCGAUUAGCUAUUCAUAGAUCAACAGAAACCUUUCAUUGGCAAGGAGAGGAAGGGCUGUUGGUGGGUUUUUAUUCCCAUCUGUCAGCUCGGCAGCACCAAUGGUGCUGAAUGAAGUCUUUCUGCUCAUUCAGCAUCUGUGGUCUAAUACUUGCCAGGAGUUUGAUCUUGACCUCUCGGUUUGUUCCUACAGUACCCAGGAUUCCCAGGUGGCCUCUCAGCCUACAGUUAACCUAGUCUAGGACUGCUGAGCUUGCCGAAUCAGUCUGCACUAGACCAUGUUUUGUUGAGGCAGUGUUGACUAGCAAAACCCACAACAUUGACAUUUCUUAGAUUCUCUAAAUACUCUAUUAUGCAGUCCACUAAGAUUAGGUCUUGCAGUCUGGGGAAAGAGAGCAAGAAAUUCUUAUCAAAACACAGCAACUUGAUAAAUUACAAAAGGAAAUCAAAGAUAAGCAGGUGGUAAAAUUGGUAGCAGGAAGUUUCUCCAUUUUUCUGUAGUUAUCUUGUAUUCCAGCCAUCCUAGACAAAAUUUUUCACCUUAUAUCAUCUCGGACAACGUGAGACAUUAGCGAAUGUCACAGGGGAAAUAUAAUUUUAAGGUUAAUUUAAGUUAUAGAUAUCCAUAUCUAAAAUAGUUGUGGAGGAUGUUAUAUAGAUCAUCUAUGAGUUCAACUUAGUUUUUAUACACAUCUUUUCCCCUAUCUCCUUAUCAUUUCCUUUAGCAUCUUCCACUCAAUGUUUCCACAGCUCAUAUUUGUGCAACAAACACAUGGUUAUGUUGCAUAUGGUUAUGUAGUGGAAUGCCUGGGGAAUAAGGUACACUGAUAAAAAUCUGUUUUAAUCAUGCAAUUAAAAACUCAAUACUAAUGUUGCAACAAUAAUACUUACAAAACAUUACCUAUGCAGAAAGCUACAGAGGUAGAAUCAAUAUGACAGCCUUAAUCUUCUUGCCCGGGCAGGUAAGAGGUUGUGUCCUAUUCAAGAUUACUUAGAAAGAACACAUGUUCCUUGUGAAUGAUGUCAUUCAUGUCUAGUAAUAUACAAAUUAAUUCAUGCCAGCACUGGCAGUAUUUUUUUUUUUUUUCAGGUAUAAGUGUACUAAUUUUUGGCUGAGAUUUUGACUGUAGAUUACCUAUGUAGAUUACAGCCUCCGUGGAGAAAGGUGAUGUACUUUUUUUUCAGAAGCACUACGCAAUAUAGAAGCUUUUCUUUAAGAAACAAGAAAA